GACGAACGCUGGCGGCGUGCUUAACACAUGCAAGUCGAACGGAAAGGCCCUGCUUUUGUGGGGUGCUCGAGUGGCGAACGGGAGAGUAACACGUGAGUAACCUGCCCACGACUUUGGGAUAACUUCAGGAAACUGGGGCUAAUACCGGAUAGGAGCUCCUGCUGCAUGGUGGGGGCUGGAAAGUGUCGGCGGUGGGGGAUGGACUCGCGGCUUAUCAGCCUGUGGGUGGGGUAGUGGCUUACCAAGGCUUUGACGGGUAGCCGGCCUGCGAGGGUGACCGGCCACCUUGGGACUGAGAUACGGCCCAGACUCCUACGGGAGGCAGCAGUGGGGAAUAUUGCACAAUGGGCGGACGCCUGAUGCAGCAACGCCGCGUGCGGGAUGACGGCCUUCGGGUUGUAAACCGCUUUCGCCUGUGACGAAGCGUGAGUGACGGUAAUGGGUAAAGAAGCACCGGCUAACUACGUG
rnacentral:rRNA from 1 species